GUGCUCACUUUGGCAGCACUUUAGUAAAGCUGGAACAACACAGAGAGGAUUAGCAUGGCCUCUAUGCAAGGAUGACACACAAAUUCAUGAAGCUUCCAUAUUUUUA
ensembl:snRNA U6 U6 spliceosomal RNA